UGUUGUUGGACCACAAGAGCGUUUCGUUGUGUGACGGCAGAAAAGCAAAAGUUAUCAACCAAACGAACAGUGGAGGAAAGGAAAGAGGCAAGAGAAACAGAGCAGUGAACAAAAGAGAGAGUGAGUGCGUGUGUGGAGAGAGCGCUAGACAUUACAAUUCUUCUUCGUGUGGUUGUUGUUGUUGUUGCUGCUGCUUGAAACAAAGCCAGCAAUUCUUGUGCAUGUUAAAAGCGGCGACAGUCACCACGGGUGAGCGUCUACAUAUAUGUGAGAGUGACUGCGACGGCGAAGGCGAAUGCCGAAUAGAAGUGUGAGUGAGUGAAUGAGUGAACUGCCGAAGGCAUUGUAUGAUGAUGCUGCUGCUGCUGCCAUAUGCAUGUGUGGGUGCAGACAAUACAAAAGCAGCGCAUUAGCGUCGCUGCUACUGACGCUGCUGCUGUUCUUCUUCUUGUUGUUGCUGCCUGUUAAUUUGCAUGCGGGCUCAAUUUUGUUGUUCUUGUUGUUGUUGUUGUUGUUGCCUGCAUCUUGUGGCCGCCCUGCAAUAACAAUGCUGCUGGUGCUGAUGCUGCUGCGGCUGUGCCGGACAUUUGUAGUAGUUGUAGUGCUGUUUUGUUAUUGUUGCUAUUGUUUGUGUGUUUUUUGCUUACUUGUGCAGUGGUGUUGUUAGCGGUGGCUUGUUGGUUUUUUUUUUGUAUUGUGAAUUGUGCCCGUCAGCCAAAAUGCGUUUUUAACAGCCAAACUAUCCAGCUGCCAACUUUACGGCAUAUGUUGACGAGUCCUUUUACCUACGACUACAGCUUUCUAUGUGUGUGAGUGUGUGUGUGUGUUAAUUAAGUUAGAGACUUUUUUGCCGUUAGGUCCACAUGGCGUAUGAAUAAUGACUUCUUUUUAGCCGAAGACGUCGUGCAGUUGGUAUUCAUGACAGCACAGCAGGUGAAUCGUCAUCAUCAUCAUCGUCAUUAUCAACUACAUGAACUGGCCAACAUAUGCUACCAUAUGUUAAUGUGGCCAGAAGAGCGUUGGGGGUGUAAAGCAAGCUAUACUGCUCGCAAGUUUUGUAUUUUAAUUGCACUUUUAAUAUGCAUUAUAAACAACAGCAGCAAAAAAAAAGUGAAACAAAAUUUUAACAAACUCCCAACUGGAAGUGAACUUUGCCAUGGCCAAAAAAAAAUGGACAAUACCCAUUAAAGUUUAAUCAGAAACGGAAGUUAAGCGCACAACUUCCGCCCAAAAGUUUGUCCGAAAGCAAAAUGCGAGAGACAGAGAGACAGAGAGUGAGAGUUGGGAAGCUCUUAAGCAAGGAACGUGAUGACGAGGCCAUUACGAGGAGGGCACAAGUUUGAAACCAAAAUGCCAAAGUGUCCAAGCGCGGCGCAAAAAUUUCAAUUUCCAAGCAUGUUUCUAAAUUAAACUGACGAAAAAACCAACGAAAAUCAAAGCAGGCAAAACAUUUCUAACAUUUCUAAAACAAAAUACAAAAAUAAAAAAAAAAAAACAAAGAAGAAGAUAACAUUUUGUGUGUGAAUGGAAAACUGUGUGGAAACUCUGUUUCCAUUUAGCAACAACUUACUUGCACAAAGUGCGUAUGUGCAAUAGAAAUGCGCACUUCCCUCCUCUCUCGACAAUUCACUUCCAAUUCGUAUUCGCUGUGCACAAAGUUUUCCCCCCGAGUGUGGAAAUAAAAGAAAUAAAAAUGCGAAGAAAGCUACUUUGACUUCGUAAAGUUUGGAAAUGUCGAAUGGCGAAUUGGCGUUGCAAAUCUAACACAAUAUAGUAUAUAAAAUGUGGCAGACCAUAAGCAUGAAAUGAGUUUAUUAAUCAAAAUGGAAAUACUUCAAAUGCCAUAUUAGUUUUCGAUUUGAUUCGAACUUUUUUUUCAAGCCUCCUAAAAGUAGACUAUAAAAAGUCAUUGUUGCGUAUUUGUACAAAAAGUGUAUUGAUGAUGAUGAAUAUGAUAGGUAGGAAAAUAAAAGGAAAGCCAUGAUUGAAUAUCCUGGAAACUUUUUAAACAUUUUCGCUGAUGAUAAACAAAUAUUUUGUGCAACUGAAAAAACGUGUUGCAAUUUAACCUUUGCCUCAGUUGCAUACCGCAUGUGGCACUGAUGAGUGGCGCACAUAAAAAGCUGAAAAGGGACACAACACAACACAAAACAAAAAAGGUAGAGAGUUGUCGUGUAUUUAACUUGGAAAUUUCCCCGUUUCUCCGUUUUCAGUGCAGUUGCAAACUGCUUUCGCAGUUUAUAUUUACUACAGUUGCCAUUGCAGUUAAUUUGUAGCUACACAUUUUUAAUUUCAUGCCAGCAGGCAGCCGACUCAGGCGGCAGAGGAUGCAACUCCCCUUUUCCCAAUCCCAAGCCCAUUCAAAAAGUGACCAAACAACAACAAGUGCAAGAAGGGGAAAUGAAACAGGACGCAACGCCGCAGUUUUUAUGCUUGUGGUAAUUUUGCGCUUUUGUUUUAAAGACUUCUGGUAAUUUCGGCAACAAAAAUGUUUUCAAACCAAACAUUUAAUUUGCAUAAUGAAAAUUUCAUUUUCGAAAUUUCUUCAAAUUGAAUGCAAAAGUCACCGGAUAAGUAAAUCCCUCCCCCUCCCCAGCAAGCCACGCCACGCCCAUCAAUCAAAAGGGCGUCUGUGCUGUCCGCUCUUCUUUUGCUGGCUCAUUAUCAGAGCAGCAGGCAACAGUCAACACUGAAACACCGAAA